GACGGGUGAGUAACGCGUGGGUAAUCUGCCCUUGAGAGGGGGAUAACAGUCGGAAACGACUGCUAAUACCGCAUAAUCUGGCGAGGCCUCAUGGUCAUGCCAGCAAAGGUGGCCUCUGAAUAUGCUACCACUUAAGGAUGAGCCCGCGUCUGAUUAGCUAGUAGGUGGGGUAACGGCCUACCUAGGCAACGAUCAGUAGCCGGCCUGAGAGGGUGUACGGCCACACUGGAACUGAGACACGGUCCAGACUCCUACGGGAGGCAGCAGUGGGGAAUAUUGCGCAAUGGGGGAAACCCUGACGCAGCGACGCCGCGUGAGCGACGAAGGCCUUCGGGUUGUAAAGCUCUGUUCUAAGGGACGAAUGACUCUAUCGUUAAUAAUGGUAGAGAAUGACGGUACCUUAGGAGAAAGCCCCGGCUAACUACGUGCCAGCAGCCGCGGUAACACGUAGGGGGCAAGCGUUGUCCGGAAUUACUGGGCGUAAAGAGCGUGUAGGCGGGUAUUUAAGUCAGGUGUGAAAGACCGGGGCUCAACUCCGGGGUUGCACUUGAAACUGGGUAUCUUGAGGGCAGGAGAGGAAAGCGGAAUUCCUGGUGUAGCGGUGAAAUGCGUAGAUAUCAGGAGGAACACCGGUGGCGAAGGCGGCUUUCUGGACUGACCCUGACGCUGAGACGCGAAAGCGUGGGGAGCAAACAGGAUUAGAUACCCUGGUAGUCCACGCUGUAAACGAUGGGCACUAGGUGUAGGAGGUAUCGACCCCUUCUGUGCCGCAGCUUACGCUAUAAGUGCCCCGCCUGGGGAGUACGGUCGCAAGGCGUGAAACUCAAGGAAUUGAUCGGGGCCCGCACAA
rnacentral:rRNA from 1 species